rnacentral:rRNA from 1 species
AUUGAACGCUGGCGGCAGGCCUAACACAUGCAAGUCGAACGGUAACAGGAAGCAGCUUGCUGCUUUGCUGACGAGUGGCGGACGGGUGAGUAAUGUCUGGGAAACUGCCCGAUGGAGGGGGAUAACUACUGGAAACGGUAGCUAAUACCGCAUAACGUCGCAAGACCAAAGAGGGGGACCUUAGGGCCUAUUGCCAUCGGAUGUGCCCAGAUGGGAUUAGCUAGUAGGUGGGGUAACGGCUCACCUAGGCGACGAUCCCUAGCUGGUCUGAGAGGAUGACCAGCCACACUGGAACUGAGACACGGUCCAGACUCCUACGGGAGGCAGCAGUGGGGAAUAUUGCACAAUGGGCGCAAGCCUGAUGCAGCCAUGCCGCGUGUAUGAAGAAGGCCUUCGGGUUGUAAAGUACUUUCAGCGGGGAGGAGGGGAGUAAAGUUAAUACCUUUGCUCAUUGACGUUACCCGCAGAAGAAGCACCGGCUAACUCCGUG